UCUCGUCUCCUCCAAUCUUCUGUGUGUGUUGUCAUUUUUUUCGCCGCCGUCUGCUGAGGUCCCGUCGGCGUCACCUUCUCCGGUCGCGGCGCCAUCUCCUGAGGUCUCCUCAUCGUUCCUUCCACGGAAACCGCCGUCUCACCUCCCGCCUCCUCCACCCGCUCCGGCCAGCUCACGAAAGAAGAAGCAAAUCAGAUCUGUUUCAAAGAAGUAAAUAAAAACGCUCUUUCUCUCAAAUCAGAUAUGUUUUCAGAUUUUUUUUGUUCUCUAUUUUUGAUUUUUUCAUUU